UAGGGAAUCUUCGGCAAUGGACGGAAGUCUGACCGAGCAACGCCGCGUGAGUGAAGAAGGUUUUCGGAUCGUAAAGCUCUGUUGUUAGAGAAGAACGUUGGUAGGAGUGGAAAAUCUACCAAGUGACGGUAACUAACCAGAAAGGGACGGCUAACUACGUGCCAGCAGCCGCGGUAAUACGUAGGUCCCGAGCGUUGUCCGGAUUUAUUGGGCGUAAAGCGAGCGCAGGCGGUUCUUUAAGUCUGAAGUUAAAGGCAGUGGCUUAACCGUUGUACGCUUUGGUGACUGGAGGACUUGAGUGCAGAAGAGGGGGGUGGAAUUCCAUGUGUAGCGGUGAAAUGCGUAGAUAUAUGGAGGAACACCGGUGGCGAAAGCGGCUCUCUGGUCUGUAACUGACGCUGAGGCUCGAAAGCGUGGGGAGCAAACAGG
rnacentral:rRNA from 1 species